GACGAACGCUGGCGGCGUGCCUAAUACAUGCAAGUCGAGCGGGGUUGUCGGAGUGGAGUCCUUCGGGAUGAAGCACCGUCAACCUAGCGGCGGACGGGUGAGUAACGCGUGGGUAACCUGCCCUAAAGCCCGGGAUAACACCGGGAAACUGGUGCUAACACCGGAUACCUUCCGAAGAGGGCAUCCUUUUUGGAAGAAAGGUUAACGCUUUAGGAUGGGCCCGCGUCCCAUUAGCUAGUUGGUGAGGUAACGGCUCACCAAGGCAGUGAUGGGUAGCCGGCCUGAGAGGGUGGACGGCCACACUGGGACUGAGACACGGCCCAGACUCCUACGGGAGGCAGCAGUAGGGAAUAUUGCGCAAUGGGCGAAAGCCUGAUCCAGCGACGCCGCGUGGAGGAAGAAGUCCUUCGGGAUGUAAACUUCUGAACUAGCCGAAUAAAAGGCCUGUGGACACACAGGAGAAGAAAGUAGGCUAGGAAAAGUCCCGGCUAACUACGUG
rnacentral:rRNA from 1 species